GUGAGAAUGUAGUUGUUUAAACUUUAAAUAUGCAGUUUGUUCAUAAAGAUAACGUCUAUUUGAAAAUUUGCUUUAGCAUUUUUGGAGAUGUGAGCUCCAGGGCAUCAGCAGCUGUUCAGCACUCAUGGACCCACCUAGAACAGCUUCUCCUGAGCUGCUGGCUCAAAUGUCUCUACACUAAAAUAUAACUGAUGAUCUUGUUUUGAAUAAGUUUAUGGAACUUACUAAGUUUAACCAAGUAAUCUGAAAGUUUUAGCACAGAAAGUUAUUAAACUAAGUGGAUUCAAGUAUGCAGUACUUAAAAUAAUGAGUAUUUUUAACGUUUUUGAGUGUUCAUUCCACCAAUAUGUGGAGUCAAUCUGCAACGUAAUUCUGACGGGAGAAGCACAUGGAAAGCAGUUCUUCAUGGCCUUUCUCUCAGAGAAGAAACCUAUGACAUUUUUCAAAACAAUGUUGGACUGUGAAUGUGUCAUGCCCCAGAUUUCCAUCUGAUUCUGACUGUGUUGACAGCCGGGAAUCUCCAUUUGGAUGGUUUUUUCAGCUCAAGUACAACUUUGAUUUUAUUCUUCAACUUUGAGUCUUUAUUUCCAUUGGACACAAAUCUCUAAAACCAAAACUACAGUCACUAAAAAUCUGCUGUUGAUGAAAGUCAAGGAUGUUUGAGAUUUAGAAAACCCAAAAUUGUUAAUUCUGUCAUUUUGCUCAUUCCAAGAUAAUUUUUUUUUUUUUUUUUUUUUUGACCUUUUGGGUUUUGAAACACAAAUCAAGUAUUUUUAAUGGAAUCUGAGAGGUUUCUGUCCUUUUGUUGACAGUCCAGGUAACCAAAACUUAAAAUAUAUUAAAAAGUUCAUUAAGGUGAAUUUAAACAAAUCGUAUACACUCAAUUAAAAUCUGAAGAAAUUAAAAUCUUUUGGUUACCUGGACUUUAAGUGAAGGAACAGACGUCUCUAAGGUUUCCUUAAAAGUAGUCUUUGAAAGACAAAAACUAAUAUUGUAACUAAUAUCUCCAAAUCAGCGUAGCGCCAUUUUGACAAAUCUGAGCAGUACGCAGGUGGUGUAAGCUCUUCUGUGCCAGCAGCACUGCGCUGAUGCGCUGUUUCAUUCAAACUAAAGCGUAAAUACAUGUAAAAAACGUAUUCUUGUGGCGCAGCUGACACAGAAGAGCGAAUGCCGCCUGCGUACUGCUCAGAAUUGUCAAAAUGGCGUUACGCUGAUUUUGAGAGACAGAGGAGAGGAAUUGUUGAAUAAAGUCUUUUUUUUUCUUUGUGUACA
ensembl:lncRNA